GUGGGGAAUCUUCCGCAAUGGACGAAAGUCUGACGGAGCAACGCCGCGUGAGUGAUGAAGGUCUUCGGAUUGUAAAGCUCUGUUAAUCGGGACGAAAGAGCCUAGUGUGAAUAAUGCUAGGAAGUGACGGUACUGGAAUAGAAAGCCACGGCUAACUACGUGCCAGCAGCCGCGGUAAUACGUAGGUGGCAAGCGUUGUCCGGAAUUAUUGGGCGUAAAGCGCGCGCAGGCGGAUAUGCAAGUCUGUCUUAAAAGUUCGGGGCUUAACCCCGUGAUGGGAUGGAAACUACAGAUCUAGAGUAUCGGAGAGGAAAGUGGAAUUCCUAGUGUAGCGGUGAAAUGCGUAGAUAUUAGGAAGAACACCAGUGGCGAAGGCGACUUUCUGGACGAAAACUGACGCUGAGGCGCGAAAGCCAGGGGAGCGAACGGGAUUAGAUACCCUGGUAGUCC
rnacentral:rRNA from 1 species